GCCUGGGUGGCCCAGUGGGUGAAGCGUCUGACUUCGGCUCAGGUCAUGAUCUCACGGUUCGUGGGUUCAAGUUCCACGUCAGGCU
rnacentral:tRNA from 1 species